CCAGACUCCUACGGGAGGCAGCAGUGAGGAAUCUUCCACAAUGGGCGAAAGCCUGAUGGAGCAACGCCGCGUGAAGGAUGAAGGCCUUCGGGUUGUAAACUUCUUUUAUGAGUGAAGAAUAUGACGGUAACUCAUGAAUAAGCACCGGCUAACUACGUGCCAGCAGCCGCGGUCAUACGUAGGGUGCGAGCAUUAUCCGGAGUGACUGGGCGUAAAGAGUUGCGUAGGCGGUAAGUCAAGUGAAUAGUGAAACCUGGUGGCUCAACCAUACAGACUAUUAUUCAAACUGGCUUACUCGAGAGUGGUAGAGGUCACUGGAAUUUCUUGUGUAGGAGUGAAAUCCGUAGAUAUAAGAAGGAACACCGAUGGCGUAGGCAGGUGACUGGACCAUUUCUGACGCUAAGGCACGAAAGCGUGGGGAGCGAACCGGAUUAGAUACCCGGGUAGUCCACGCCGUAAACGAUGGAUACUAGCUGUUGGAGGUAUCGACCCCUUCAGUAGCGAAGCUAACGCGUUAAGUAUCCCGCCUGUGGAGUACGGCCGCAAGGCUAAAACAUAAAGGAAUUGACGGGGGCCCCGCACAAG
rnacentral:rRNA from 1 species